GGGUCAGAUGGUUGGUCGUGCCACCGGUACGUACUGGUCUCACUGAUUCCUCCUUCCUGAAGAACCGUAAUGCCAUUAAUUUGGUGUUGCGGGGAAACAGGACUGUUACUUUGAAAAAAUUAGAGUGUCUAAAGCAAGCUCACGCUUGAAUACAUUAGCAUGGAAUAAUGAAAUAGGACGAUCGAUCCUAUUUUGUUGGUUUCUAGGAUUGACGUA
rnacentral:rRNA from 1 species